rnacentral:rRNA from 1 species
GACGAACGCUGGCGGCGUGCCUAAUACAUGCAAGUCGAACGCUUCCUACCGGUGCUUGCACCGGGAAAGAAGAGUGGCGGACGGGUGAGUAACACGUAAGGAAUCUACCUAUAAGCGGGGGAUAACAUUCGGAAACGGGUGCUAAUACCGCAUAAUAUCUUCUUCCGCAUGGAAGAAGAUUGAAAGACGGCUCUGCUGUCACUUAUAGAUGACCUUGCGGUGCAUUAGUUAGUUGGUGGGGUAACGGCCUACCAAGACGAUGAUGCAUAGCCGACCUGAGAGGGUGAUCGGCCACAUUGGGACUGAGACACGGCCCAAACUCCUACGGGAGGCAGCAGUAGGGAAUCUUCCGCAAUGGGCGAAAGCCUGACGGAGCAAUGCCGCGUGAGUGAAGAAGGCCUUCGGGUCGUAAAACUCUGUUAUAAGAGAAGAACAAAUUGUAGAGUAACUGCUACAGUCUUGACGGUAUCUUAUCAGAAAGCCACGGCUAACUACGUGCCAGCCGCCGCAGUAA